rnacentral:rRNA from 1 species
UACGUAGGGCGCAAGCGUUGUCCGGAAUUAUUGGGCGUAAAGAGCUCGUAGGCGGUUUGUCGCGUCUGCUGUGAAAUCCCGAGGCUCAACCUCGGGCUUGCAGUGGGUACGGGCAGACUAGAGUGCGGUAGGGGAGACUGGAACUCCUGGUGUAGCGGUGGAAUGCGCAGAUAUCAGGAAGAACACCGAUGGCGAAGGCAGGUCUCUGGGCCGUAACUGACGCUGAGGAGCGAAAGCAUGGGGAGCGAACAGG